CGUGUAGGCGGUCUUAAGUCAGGGUGAAUGCCAAGGCUCAACCUUGGAACUGCCCUUGAUACUGGAGAUCUUGAGUCCGGGAGAGGUGAGUGGAACUGCGAGUGUAGAGGUGAAAUUCGUAGAUAUUCGCAAGAACACCAGUGGCGAAGGCGGCUCACUGGCCCGGAACUGACGCUGAGACGCGAAAGCGUGGGGAGCAAACAGGAUUAGAUACCCUGGUAGUCCACGCUGUAAACGAUGGAUGCUAGCCGUUGGGGAGCUUGCUCUUCAGUGGCGCAGCUAACGCUUUAAGCAUCCCGCCUGGGGAGUACGGUCGCAAGAUUAAA
rnacentral:rRNA from 1 species